GUGUUUGGUAUUUGGUAUCCAUAGCAGAUAGAUUCUGGAAGAACUCAUGCUGGGAGUAAAUCUGUGCAUCCUAGAAAUGUGUCUGCUUUCUGCCACGAGAGAAAGGCUUUGAAGAAACUACAAAGCCCUGGGGGAUUUCACUAGAAAUUAGGUCUUCCGCUAUAACUGGAGGUGUAUCUGGAAGUGAAAACCCAAAGCCAGACUUCUUAAUUUUCCUUGUUGUUAAAACUAUUUUUUUUUAAACUGAGAUUUGAAGGAGUUUAGAAGAGAUUUGGGCACAUCCUUGCAAAUAUUUGGCAUAAGACAUUUGUGUAUGAUGCAUGAGUAGUGAUAAUGUCAGGAGAGCAACUGGAAAAUCUCAAUAUGAACUUAGAAACCCAAACAAAAUUGUUUCAUAAUUGGUUAUCAUUUUACUGGAAAACCUCAAUGUGAACUUAAGAACCUUUAUGAAAUUGCUUUGUAAUCAGUUAUAAUUUUCAAAUUUGGAGAUAAAAUGCAUGGGAUAAAAAGCAAAAAUUCCAAAAAUUCCACAAAGCAUCCAUUCAAAAUAAUUCAGACAUCCUUACUAUUACUAGUGAUGAAAGUAGACUCCUUCAGGAAAGAAGGGUGAUAAAAGGAUGGAACCAGGCUCUGCUUGGUGGUACUGGGCAAUUGGACAAGAGGGAAUGGACAGGAAUUGAUGCCCAGGAGGUUCACCUGGACAGGAGGCAGAACUUCUUCCCUGGGCAGUGACCCAGCACUGAGCAGAGUGUCCAGAGAGGCUGUGGAGUCUCCUCACUGGAGAUAUUCCAGACCCCUCUGGACACAAUCCUGUGCCCUGUGCUCUGUGACGGCCCUUCUGGAGCAGGGAGGUGGCACCAGUGACCCACUGUGGUCCCUUCCAGCCUGGCCCAUUCUGGGAUGUGGAAUUUGUCAUCAUUACUUAGGGAGAAGGAAACACUUGCUUUUUCAAUUGUUGUGAAACUCAAAAAAUAGCCUGGAUGCCCUUUAAUUUCUCACAGCAGCAGUUUGACAUCAAUGGAAGUGAGGCCCACUCCUUUUCAAGUUAAAUUACCAUUUAAGCCCCCCAUGCUGCAGAUAGCAGUGCUUGUACCUGGUUUCAGUGUGAGAGUGACUGCAGGACGGGAGACCAAUGCUUUACCAAACAAAUGCUGCGACUCUGGAAGAUUGCAAAGUGCCUGUUUGGAAAUCAUGGCUGUAACACAAGGGUGAUUCAUCUAACUGCUAUGUUGUCUGCAUGUGUCAGACCUUUCUGUGUGGGUGAAGUUAUUUUAGGAGCAGGGGACAGGAGUGGGGCCACAGGCUGUGGCUGCUGUCGAGGGAGGUGCUGGCAGGUUGGGCAGGUCCUUGAGCACAGAGCCCCGUGAUGUGACACAUCUCCCUUGCCACAAUACAGCCCUGUGAUGUGUGUGGGGACUUAGGGCAAACCUUUCUAGGUGGCAGAUUAAAAAUCAGGUAUGUGAGGCUCAGAUAUGACUGUUGUGGAAAAAUAAUCCUGGUUUUUCUAGCACAUGCGAGAGAGAAAUGCAGGCAGCAUCAGGAAAAAGUGAGAUGGCUUCAGGUCUAUGUCUGACAGCCAAGAAACCUACAGGUAACAGUCUUAGCAGUCUCUAGAUGCUUUUAUUUCCCUCUUCAAAGAAAUAGAAUAGAAUAGAAUAGAAUAGAAUAGAAUAGAAUAGAAUAGAAUAGAAUAGAGCAGAAUAAAGAGAAUAUUUUAUUUAUCAGGGACAUACAACAACCAUCUUGUCUGAGUACUUCAGGGCAAACCAAAAAUUGAAGUAUGGUAUUAAGGGUGUUGUCCAAAUGCCUCCUAAAUGUGAUUAAUAACAAUGCUCCCAAAUCUGAAACUAUUUCUGGUCUUUGUUGUGUUCCAGCCAGAGGUGGAUUUCCAGGUGUUUUCCUCUAAUUCCCCUGGCAGUCCCAGUUUUAUGGAUCCACAGAGCACAGGUUAGGGGGGUUCUCAGGCUGUUCUACCCAGUGCUGUCAGGUGGAUGACUAGGAAAUUGUCAAGAUAUUAUUCUAAUCAGAUUCAUGGCUCCAUUAAGAAUUUUACAAUUUAAAUUUCUGGUGCAAAGUAAUCUGAACACUCUGGCAGAGUCUCAACUGUAUUUAUAAAUCCUUUUGUAUAUAUAAGUAUAAAUAUUUUCCAUACCUAGCUAGAAACAUUAGUUAUGGAACUGAUCUUUGAAAUGCUGGAGUUACCUUUCAGUCAAUUUAAGAAAGCAGGAAAAGUAAUGAUAUCCAACAAUGGAGAAAGGGGGAAUGUUUCCCCCCAAUUUUUCAGUUAUGCAAAAGUGUUUCAGGACAUUUUUUCUCCUGUCCUCUCAGAAAGAAAAUAAGCUUACUUUAUGCAAAUGCCAAGAACUAAAAAAAUUGUCCAAACCCCCAAGAAGUCAUACAUGAAAAUUAAAAAAAAAAAAAAAAAA
ensembl:lncRNA